CCUACGGGAGGCAGCAGUGAGGGAUAUUGGUCAAUGGGGGAAAUCCUGAACCAGCAACGCCGCGUGAGGGAAGACGGUUUUCGGAUUGUAAACCUCCUUCCUCUGUGAAGAUGAUGACGGUAGCAGAGGAGGAAGCUCCGGCUAACUACGUGCCAGAAGCCGCGGUAAUACGUAGGGGGCAAGCGUUGUCCGGAUUGACCGGGCGUAAAGGGUGCGUAGGGGGUUUUGCAAGUCAGAAGUGAAAUCCAUGGGCUUAACCCAUGAACUGCCUUUGAAACUGCAGGUCUUGAGUGGAGUAGAGGUAGGCGGAAUGCGCGGUGUAGCGGUGAAAUGCAUAGAGAGCGCGAGGAACACCAGUGGCGAAGGCAGCCUGCUGGGCUCUAACUGACGCUGAGGCACGAAAGCGUGGGUAGCAAACAGGAUUAGAUACCCGGGUAGUC
rnacentral:rRNA from 1 species